UACGUAGGUGGCAAGCGUUGUCCGGAUUUAUUGGGUUUAAAGGGUGCGUAGGCGGCCCUGUAAGUCAGUGCUGAAAUAUCCCGGCUUAACCGGGAGGGUGGCAUUGAUACUGCGGGGCUAGAGUACAGAUGAGGUAGGCGGAAUUGACGGUGUAGCGGUGAAAUGCUUAGAUAUCGUCAAGAACACCUAUAGCGAAGGCAGCUUACUAGGCUGUAACUGACGCUGAGGCACGAAAGUGUGGGGAUCAAACAGGAUUAGAACCGUAC
rnacentral:rRNA from 1 species